GGCCACUUGGAUUUCCAUAGCUGCUUGUCACCUAUGUGGCCUCAAGCAAACUGACUCCUUUAGGAGUUCUGUAUUCCUCAUUCGUGAAAUGGGACAGUAUGUGCGAGAGGCCUCUGUUGCUUUCACCUGCCCCAUAUAUCCUGUCCCCUUCAGCUGGUGACAAAGUCCGUUUUUUCCUGGAACGACUCUUCCCUGUUCUCUCUGUGGUUUGGCUGGGACAGAUGCCAUCCCUGUUCCAGGGCUCUCGGGGCCUGGGGGGGGAUGAGGUCAUCAGCUUCCCCCCCUGGUCACUGUGAUGUGUUGUUAUCACCUGCAUCCAGGCCUGACCAAUCUAGGGUUCUGUCUUCCUUCGUCUCAGUGACCGGUUUAGAGGCGUGUGUACGCGAACCGAGCUGGGACAGCGGGAUACAAUCCUGGUACUUUCAUCCCGAUGUUGAAAAGAAAGGAGACCCAUCUUCCCACUGAACCUGAAGUGGAUGGGCCUUCUGUAACCCAAGACCUGCUGGGAGCACCAAGUGGACGGAGCGUGGCCAAGAGGGCAGCCAGUAUUGCCGAAGGGUGACCGAGAGGCGGACGGAGUCUUCACCCUGUUUGAGAUUCUCCGUCCAUCCCUGCCUGAAGCCUGUGAACCCAACCGUGAGACAAGCCUGGACUGACCUGCCAGAGGAUGAAAAUCCACACAGAGGAGAGCGGAGCCAUUUCUCCAGAGGCUGUCCUAGACCCGCCAGCCCCCAAGCAAUCUGCUAGCUUCCCAAGAGGAAUAAGUGAGCUCAGGUGUCAUUAGGUGGGCCUGGCCCAUCCAGAGGAUACACUAAGCCCACCUACAGACUUGUGAGUGGACACAAAUGGGUAUUGCUUUAAGCCACUGGGCUUUGUGGCUUUUUGUUAUAUAGAACUACCAAGGCAAUAGUGGUUCAAAAUCAAAAUUUUGUAAUUCCGCAAUUCUAAAGGUCUUCGCUUUCAUCUCUUAUUAGCAAUCCUGAAUUCACAGGUAGCAAAUUCAGGUGUGAACGUAACCGUUGCUUUAUUUUUUCUGGACUGAAUUGAUUUCCUCUUCCGAGCCCCUGUUCCAUCAUGAGGCGGGCAAUUAGUUACUUAAUUUUUGGUUGAUUCCAGGCAAUCUAGGCCAACGCAUUUAUGGCAGAUGUUACUUCUUACCACUACUCCGCUUCUCUCCUUCUGAGUGAACAGGAGGACAGCACCUCCCCACCUCCUUGAAGGUAGGUGUGACCAGAGGACUGUUUUUGGCCAAUGAAAUGGGAGCAGGAACCGGUCACUUCUGGGAAGAAGCAUUUAGGAGUUUCUGUGCAGUUGUCCGUGUUCUUUCUUUCUCUUCCUUCAACCGUGGAGGGAUAGGUUGUUACAUAAAUGCCACAAAACUGAAGUACCUUGAAUGCCAGGUUACCACAUGGGGGUCUUCUGCCUCAGGGGGUUGCCUGGACGUGUACUUGGUUUUUCAUGAGCAGGAAAGAAACUUUUGUUUCUUAAUUUUCUCACAGUUAUGGAGGCUGGAAGUCCAAGAUCAAGAGGCCUCCAGGUUCGGUUUCUUCUGAGGCCUCUCCCCGCUUGGUGUGCAGACGGCCGCCUUCUCCCUGUGGUCCGACAUGGUCUUUUCUCUAUUCAUGUGUCCCCAGUGUCUCUCUGUGUGUCCAAAA